UAGGAGAAGAUGCUUCUGCCUUUGAAAGCCUAACAUAAACUCGGUGGAGACCCGGUCCUGCAACCACCAGCACAAUCACGCACACCGAUGUGACCCAAGCAGGCUGCCCCAUGGAAAUCCCAGGACCAGCGGGCAUUAAACAGCUCGCCCAUCCUCAGCAAGCGCUGUCUGUGCUCGGGACAUCUCAUGGCAUGCGAGGAGCCCAGCUCUGGCUGUGCACCUACAGACCCCUUAAGCGGGCCGGGAGCGGCUCUGCGCGCUGGGCGCCUCGCCGGGAGCCGGGGGAAGGAUGCUGCGGAGAGGAAAACGCAACCCCGACCGCCCUCUUGUGGGUCUCAGGCGCCGCUUCGCAGGGGCCGGGGGUGUAGCCGGAGAGGUUUCGGUGCAGGAUUGCACGAGGAGUGCGCUCGCUCCCGCAGGGUGCCGCUACCCAGGCGCGGUGACUUGCAGGAGCUUCAGGAGCUCGUGGCCAGGUUCCUCGGUCGCCGUCGCACCGGGGGCAAACGCUGCCGUGAUUUGGGCUUAAAGGUGGGUUUCUGGGCUAGCGGCACGCUUCUGAUCCUCGGAACUGCUUGGAAGGGGUGCUGGCGGCACGGUCAGCAGGAGCAAGCUGUGAUGGUUCAUGCAAUUUGCUCUGCAAACGCUGGGAAGGUUGCCCUCGCCCGACGCUGCUUUGAAUUAGGGUUUUCUUGAAGCGUGUGCUCUCUGAUCCCAGCCUUGAAACUCUCCGGUGACAGUGGCCAAAGCUUACGCUGGUUGUUCCAGAGGCUAAAAGCAUACGCUUUCUUUCCAGGCUCAUUUGUCUGUUUUAACUUCCAGGCUGUGUUGGGAGGCUUUCGCCUGCUCCCCUCCCAGGGUGUUUCUGCCUGCAGGAGGCAGUCGGGAAGAGCUCCUCGUGCGUGGCUGCUACAUCCAUGCUAUUGCUCUGUCAAGGAAACUAUGAGCUGUUAACACCAGAAUCAACCCGACAUGGUCUGUUUUCCAUGAACAUCACGAUUGGCAUUGAUCCCUUUUAAUUCAGCAUCAACUAUUGUUUUCCCAGGAAUUACUUUCAGACUGACAGGCCUAUAAUAAUCCAAUCUCUCUAAUGAUAUAUUUUUAUAAAUAGGCAAAAUAUUAGUCGUCUUCCAAUUUUGUGGGGAUUGCUCCUCAAAUUCAAAACUUGCUGAAAAUCAGUACCAGUGGUUCAGAGAUCUCCCAUGUCAGGACUUCUGUAAGGCUUGAGAAGAAACUGUAGAGACCUGAGAGGCAUUAAUGCAAGAAGCUGAUCCCUAGUGCCGCACCCUGGAUGCGACUAGGGAGAAAUGACCUCCUUGUGGUACAGAUAACGCACAGAUAUGGUUGAGCAAGGCUGCACACACAGCAUGAUUUAUUUUAAGCAUCCCCGUAGAAUGAAAUUAAAAGAAUAUCCUUAGAUGUUGCAUAUCUAAACUGAAUUAUUAGGGGUGAGGAAUUCUCCUUUCUAAAAUCCUUCUCAGUGUUAAAUCUUCCCUGAGCACAUCUUGUGAUGACUGCCAAAUAACAGGGCAAGUUGGUCUGGAGGGCUGCUAGGAGAGAGCCUUCUCCAGACGCCCUGGCUGCUCCCCUGGAGCUCCUGCUGGGGGAGAGCUGCAGAGAAGCUCCGGGUGUGACUCUGCUGUGCUGCCGCCUUCGUACGUCCUCGAGUUCCUCCUGCCGGCAUGCCGAGUCCUGCGGCUGUAAGCAGUGUUUGUCCAAAUGUUUUCCCAAACCUUCAGCAGUUUAUCGGGCAGGUGACAGCUAAAGGAACUGACUGUUAACGGGGUCGAUGGCUGUGUCUCACCUGCUUUUUGGUCCAGUUUUUGGAAUUGAAAUGUUUUUCAGUACUCUGUAUUUGAUUUCUCUGCAUUAUUGUUAACAACUCUUCUGUUUCUGGGGUGUGCAGGGCCUGUGCUGGGAACACUUUUGUUCUUUUUUGUUCUUUUUACUACUUAAGAAGCUUAUUCUCACUGCUAGUUCUGCUGGCCAUUGGUUUCUCCUUGCUGCCUUACAGAUAACUGAUCAUUCCUAGCCUCUAAUUCCUACCUGUGGCUGGAUUUACUAUUCCUUCCCCAUCCGUAAUACUUUACCUGUUUCUAUUUCUCCUCAGAGACAUGAUGGGGAUUUGAAUGGGUGUUGCCUUUUCCAAUUCCAGGGCACUCUAAAAUACUCUCAGAUAAUUUCUGGUGAUAGUUUCCGUUCUGCUCAAAUUCCUUCUUCCAGCUGAUUUGGUCACUGCUAUUUUUAGCUUCAAAAUGCUAAAUAUGUGGUGCUUAGCUGGGCCUUUUUCUGUUUCCUUCUAACAAAUACAAUGAUUGUGAUUACAAGGCAACUCACUGGCUGCUCAGUUUCAUGUUACUUUUAAAUUUGAAAACAUUUCCUUUUGCCAUCCAGCAUAGAACUUCCCGCACUGGAGUUAAAUAAAAAUGCAUCUCUGCAGCUUUUGAAAGUGUAAAGCGUUUGUUCAGGAGGUGUCUCCGGGAUCGGCAUCAGACAUGGUAUCGCUUUCCCAUGCCACAUGGAUAGGGGGUUAACUCACCUCACGUCCCAUUUCCUGAGCUCCUGGAGGUGCCAGCCAGCCUCCCUUUGCGUAGCUGUCCUUCGCUCUCCUGUCUCCAGCCAGUGGUACUUUGUCCUUUUGUCUCAUGUUUAGAAAACUACAGAAACUCUUGCUUAGGUUUGAUAUGAACCACAUUGCUCACAGACACUUCUUUUUCCCCACAUUCCUUAAAGAUGGAGUGACAAGCCUCCUCCAGCUCAGUGGUCCAAGAAUUCCUCAAUUGCUUGCCAGCAUUUGUCUUCCACUCCACUGAUGUCUUGGUGGCAUGGUGACCAGUGUUGGCUUCUCACAGAGGAAAAUCCUUCUGCCUCAGGCUUUGCUGUGGGCCUGAAAAACUUCCACCUUUCUUCUGAGACAUCUGAAGCGAUGACCCUCACUGGAAGCUAUGCAGCUACGGAGGAGUGCCUGCUGCUGCAAGGUGCUGCUUUCAGGCAAGCUGGUGAGCAGGGUCAGGGACUGCUAAGAGGAUGUGCAAAUUCAGCAACGAGAGACUGAGAACGCUGUACUCGUGUUGGUGGCUGUGCCUUUGCAUGUUGUAACAGACGGAAGGACUAGCAGACAUCUCUGUCUUCUGAGGACAAGCGUCCAGCACAAGCAGCUCUUUGGUUCCAGCAGGACCCCUCAAGUGAUAUACCACAAUACCAACUAGGAAUGAUCUGAUAUAUAUUAAAAGAUUUCCUUAGUUUAGAUGAUUAAAUUGAUUACGUUUAGAUGAUUAAACAUUUCCAAUAACAAAAAGCAUCCGUUGGGUUUUGUUUUGUGUUGUAAAGGGCUGUGCCUGUCCUUACCACCUGCAAGAACAUCAGUCUGACAGAACAGAGAGGGGCUGGUGCUCCCCAUCAGCUUCAGUUCGCUGGUCUUUGCAAAAUCAGGUGAAAUUGCUGUGUUUGUCUGUUCUAUUUCAAGUUCAGAGGACUCCUUUUUAUUGUUCAAGUUACUAUGAAAAACAUCUUUUGGUAGCCUUAACUUUGAGACUGCAAUAUUUCACGUCUACGAUCAGCCUUUCUGUGGUAAAGAUGCAGCAACAUCCUCUUUCUGUUUUGGCCCAGCCCACCUGCUGGUUUUGCAUUCACUAUUUUUGGUAUUUUUGUCGUGUCAUACUAUACUACUCCCUACUCUUCUGUUUCUUUUCCUUACUUGUGACUCAGGUAACGUUUGUAUCAUCAAGAUAAUUUACUCUGAAAACACAUUCAGUUUAAGAGAAAAAUGCCGUUUUGAGCUUGCUUUGUGUUUCUUUCCAACCUCCCUCUCUCCCCCCUGCCUCCAAUGAUAUUAUUUCUCUGUGACUCUUUGGCACUAAAUCAGACCUGUUUUUAUUUCUUUUUACUGAUGUACUGAUCCCUACAUGAAAAAAUCACCAGCAUUAACAUUACUCAUUGGUAUGCAUAGCUAUAGCACAGGAUGUUUUAUUUUUUGACAGCUUCAGCUUUGUAAACUUCUCUGUAAACUGUGGGGAAAAAGCAGCCAUUUUAGUACAUAAGUGGGCUGAACUACAAACAGAUACAUUUCCCAGGCAGGAACUGAUCUCCAAAAUAUUGCCGCUUUGCAUGCAGUCGGGAAUAAGAUUGACUAUUACAUCUUUAAUUAAAUAUGCCAAGUGAGUUGAUCAAAAAUGGCCAAGCUGAAAAAAUGAAAGAAUCCUUGAUCUACAUCUAAAUAUUCAUUUUUCAAAGGAAUUAGCUUUUUGUGGUGCCUUCCAAUAGCUGACAUUGAUUUCAGCCUGUCAGCUUGCAUCUACUGGUGAUAAUAAGGAGUCUCUGAUAACAUGUUGGUUUUUAAUAAAGCUGUUUUUCCUCCAGAGAUGCAUGGAUUUGGGGUCACCUUCUUGGGUUUUCCCUUUUGUACUCAAUGAAUGAUUCAGAAUCUCCACCAUUUAUUUAUUUAUGCCAACUGGCCAAGUUAAUGGCUAGAUACUUCAACACAGUAUUUUACCAGGGUAUAUUCUCACCAUGCCACUGGCUUCUGAAAACAGAAUCAGCUUUGUGUCACAGGUAGGGACAGCAGCACAGCCACCAGCAACUCUGCAAUGCUCAGCUCACUGGAGGGGAAGAGCCUUC